rnacentral:rRNA from 1 species
AGAGUUUGAUCAUGGCUCAGGAUGAACGCUAGCGACAGGCUUAACACAUGCAAGUCGAGGGGCAGCGAUAGGUGGCAACACCGAGUCGGCGACCGGCGCACGGGUGAGUCACGCGUAUGCAACCUGCCCAUCAGCGGGGGAUAACCCGUCGAAAGACGGACUAAUACCGCAUAAAACAGGGGUUCCGCAUGGAAAUAUUUGUUAAAGAUUUAUUGCUGAUGGAUGGGCAUGCGUUCUAUUAGGCAGUUGGCGGGGUAACGGCCCACCAAACCGACGAUAGAUAGGGGUUCUGAGAGGAAGGUCCCCCACAUUGGUACUGAGACACGGACCAAACUCCUACGGGAGGCAGCAGUGAGGAAUAUUGGUCAAUGGGCGCGAGCCUGAACCAGCCAAGUCGCGUGAAGGAUGAAGGUUCUAUGGAUUGUAAACUUCUUUUCAUGGGGGAAUAAAGUGCGAGAUGUGUCCUGUUUUGUAUGUACCUCAUGAAUAAGCAUCGGCUAACUCCGUGCCAGCAGCCGCGGUAAUACGGAGGAUGCGAGCGUUAUCCGGAUUCAUUGGGUUUAAAGGGUGCGUAGGUGGCCAUCUAAGUCAGCGGUGAAAGUUUGUGGCUCAACCAUAAAAUUGCCGUUGAAACUGGAGGGCUUGAGUAUGUUUGGGGCAGGCGGAAUGUGUGGUGUAGCGGUGAAAUGCAUAGAUAUCACGCAGAACUCCGAUCGCGAAGGCAGCUUGCCAAGCCAUAACUGACACUGAAGCACGAAAGUGUGGGUAUCAAACAGGAUUAGAUACCCUGGUAGUCCACACAGUAAACGAUGAUUAUUAGGAGUUUGCGAUAGACAGUAAGCUCCACAGCGA